CAGCAGCCGCGGGAAUACGUAGGAUGCGAGCGUCAAUCGGAAUUACUGGGCGUAAAGCGUGCGCAGGCGGUUUUGUAAGACAGAUGUGAAAUGCCCGGGCUUAACCUGGGAACUGCAUUUGUGACUGCAUGGCUAGAAUCUGGCAGAGGGGGGUAGAAUUCCACGUGUAGCAGUGAAAUGCGUAGAUAUGUGGAGGAAUACCGAUGGCGAAGGCAGCCCCCUGGGCCAAUACUGACGCUCAUGCACGAAAGCGUGGGGAGCAAACAGGAUUAGAUACCCCUGUAGUCCCUGUCUCUUAUAC
rnacentral:rRNA from 1 species